UGGGGAAUAUUGGACAAUGGGCGAAAGCCUGAUCCAGCCAUGCCGCGUGUGUGAAGAAGGUCUUCGGAUUGUAAAGCACUUUAAGUUGGGAGGAAGGGCAGUAAGCGAAUACCUUGCUGUUUUGACGUUACCGACAGAAUAAGCACCGGCUAACUCUGUGCCAGCAGCCGCGGUAAUACAGAGGGUGCAAGCGUUAAUCGGAAUUACUGGGCGUAAAGCGCGCGUAGGUGGUUCGUUAAGUUGAAUGUGAAAGCCCCGGGCUCAACCUGGGAACUGCAUCCGAAACUGGCGAGCUAGAGUAUGGCAGAGGGUGGUGGAAUUUCCUGUGUAGCGGUGGAAUGCGUAGAUAUUGGCGGGAACACCAGUGGCGAAGGCGACCACCUGGGCUCAUACUGACACUGAGGUGCGAAAGCGUGGGGAGCAAACAGG
rnacentral:rRNA from 1 species